AUAAGAAAAAGAAAACACUACCUUUAGUAGUGGUUUCAUUGCAGCAAUUCCACCAUGAAGGCCUGAUUCCCGUAGUCUCCUCUGAACAGUUGAUGUUGAGAUGUGUUCAUUGUACUUGAACUCUGUGAAGAAUUUAUUUGGGCUGCAAUUUCUGAGGCUGGUGACUCUAAUGAACUUAUCCUCUACAGUAAAUCUGGAUUUUCCUUUCCUGUGGCAGUCCUCAUGAGAGCCAGCUUCAUCAUAGCACUUGAUGUUUUUUGCAACUGCACUUGAAGAAACUUUAAAAGUUCUUGAAAUUUUCCAAAUUUACUGACCUUCAUGUCUUAAAUUAACGAUGGACUGUCAUUUCUCUUUGCUUAUUUGACCUGUUCUUGCCAUAAUAUGGACUUGGUAUUUUACCAAAUAGGGCAAUCUUCUGUAUACCACCCCUGCCUUUUCACAACACAACUGAUUGGCUCAAACACAUAAAAAGGAAAGAAACAGGCACUCCUUUUGAUUGAAAUGCAUUCCAGGUGACUACCUCAUGAAGCUGGUUGAGAGAAUGCCAAGAGUGUGCAAAGAUGUCAUUAAGGCAAAGGGUGGCUACUUUUUAUGGUUACUACAUGAUUUCAUAUGUGUUAUUUUAUAGUUUUGUUGUCUUCACUAUUAUUCUACAAUGUAGAAGAUAGUUCAAUUAAAACCCUUGAAUGAGUAGGUGUCCAAGCGUUUGACUGGUACUGUAUAUCUAGUUUUUAUUGGUCUGCGAGCCUACAAAAGGGGGGCUGGCCUGUGGCCCAUCCCUGCUUUAUAAGUACUAUUUCACUCAAAUGUCUCUUUCCAUUCCUCUGUCUCUUUCAUCAAUGCUGUUGUGAAUCUAUGAAUCACUUUCUAGUGUCCAGUUAUGCAUUGACUGUGUUCCCUUAUGGCUCAGGUGGACCAGGCUGCUGCAGGCAUCCUGGCCCUGGGUUUGAAGAGGGGGGACAGACUGGGCAUGUGGGGACCCAACACAUGAGUGGGUCCUGUUCUAGUUUGCCACAGCCAAGGCUGGCAUCAUACUGGUAUACACUGACACUGAUGGCACGUAGAAGGAGGAAUCUUAAUGUGGGAAAAGUGUUAGUUUUUGCACCCUCUACAUGUGUACAUUAAAGAAGAUGUUUUCAGUGGUUAUGUUUUGUUCUCUCUGACAGACGUCUGUUAACCCAACCUAUCAGGUGCAGCAGUUUCAGUUUGCUUCGAAGAAAGGUGGGAUGCAAUGCCAUUAUGUGCCCGACCCAGUUUAAGACCCAGAAGUACUGUGGCAUUCUCAGAUAGAGAAUCCCUGGAUCUAUCCCUGGAUCUGUCAAGAGUGGUGUACCUUUGUCUACGGCAAUCCUACUAUGUACAUCGACAUGCUGGGCCAGCCUGACUUGGCCAAGUUCGACUUGUCAUCAGUGGAGGGAGAUUGCCUAUGGAACUAUGGAGAACAGACAUUCUGUGGCUUCCCAUGAGACAACUUGGUGAGAAAGUCACAAACUUGGAUGCAUUACCAAUAACUUAGAGGCUAAGGUAGUUGACCCUGGCUCUGGAGAGCUCAAGCCUCUUCAGGGACUACUGUAUGAUGCUGGAGUACUGGGAAGGCCGUUGCCAAGACAGACGAAUGCAUCACCAAAGAAUCAAAGCCAUUGUGUUGAACUCAAUUGUACCAACAUUUUUGCAGAACCCGUUGGACCAAUGUUAUGUUUUAGCAGGCACAGGUUAACAGGAAAGGGAGGCCAUGUACAGCAAAGUGCCUUACACAGCACAGUCAGCUAAACAACGACAGCCAAAAGAUUUUGCACUAUUUUUAGGACCAACCCUGAUUAUCUUGUGACAGCCUUGAAAACCACCUCAUCAAUCUGUGACUGUGACAAGCUGUGACAAUCUGUGACAAGCUGCUUUUUACACCAAAUAAAGGUUUUACACUUUUUACCCAUGUUACCAAAUCUCUAGGGACCAAGAGUUGAGAGUUGAAGGACCUCUACCUGCCUUUUUACAGUGCAUUCGGAAAGUAUUCAGACCCUUUCACUUUCUCCUAAUGCUAAUCUUAUUCUAAAAUGUAUUAAAUAGUUUUUUUCUACACACAAAAGCCCAUAAUGACAAAGCAAAAACAGAUUUUUAGAAAUGUUAGCAAAUGUCUAAAAAAAACGUAAAUAUUACAUUUACAUAAGUAUUCAGACUCUCUACUCUACUUUGUCGAAGAACCUUUGGCAGCGAUUGCAGCCUCGAGUCUUAUUGGGUAUGACGCUACAAGCUUGACACACCUGUAUUUGGGGAGUUUCUCCCAUUCUUCCCCAGGCCAGGUGAUGAGCUGUGCCUGGUUUCCUCCAGACAUGACGCUUGGCAUUCAGGCCAAAGGGUUCAAUCUUGGUUUCGUCAGACCAGAGAAUCUUGUUACUCAUGGUCUGAGAGUCAUUUAGGUAACUUUUGGCAAACUCCAAGCGGGCUAUCAUGUGCCUUUUACUGAGGAGAGGCUUCCUUCUGGCCACCAUUAAGGCUUCCUUCUACUAUUCACCAUGGCUUCCUUCUACCAUUAAGGUGGUGGAGUGCUACAAAGAUGAUUGUCCUUCUGGAAGGUUCUCCCAUCUCCACAGAGGAACUCUGGUUCUGUCAGAGUGACCAUCGGGUCCUUGGUCACCUCCCUGACCAAGGCCCUACUCCCCAAUUGCUCAGUUUGGCCAGGUGGCCAGCCCUAGGAAGAAUCUUGGUGGUUCCAAACCACUUCCAUUUCAGAAUGAUGGAGGCCACUGUGUUCUUGGGACCUUCAAUGCUACAGAAAUGUUUGGUACCCUUCCCCAGAUCUGUGCCUCGACACAAUCCUGUCUCUGAGGUCUACAGACAAUUCCUUAGACCUCAAAGGCUUGUUUUUGUUCUCUGACAUGCACUGACAAAUGUGGGACCUUGUAUAGACAGGUGUGUGCCUUUCCAAAUCAUGUCCAAUCAAUUGAAUUUACCACAGUUGGACUCCAAUCAAAUUGUGCAAACAUCUCAAUGGAUCAAUGGAAGCAGGAUGCACCUGAGCUCAAUUUCGAGUCUCAUAGCAAAGGGUCUGAAUGCUUUCUAAAAACCUGUUCUCACUUUGGCAUUAUGGGAUAUUGUGUGUAGACUAACCCAUUUUAGAAUAAGGCUGUAACAAAAUGUGAAAAAAGUGAAGGGAUCUGUAUACUUUCUUAAAAUAAAACAAACUGCACCAUUAAAUGUUA